CCCUUAGAUGUCCGGGGCUGCACGCGCGCUACACUGUAGAAAGCAGCGUGCUUUAAAACCUUUCCUGAAAAGGAUGGGUAACCCCAGCAAAAUUCUACGUGCUUGGGAUAGAGAUUUGCAAUUUUCUCUCUUGAACGAGGAAUUCCCAGUAAGUGCAAGUCAUCAGCUUGCGCUGAUUACGUCCCUGCCCUUUGUACACACCGCCCGUCGCUACUACCGAUUGAAUGGUUUAGUGAGAUCUCUGGAUUGACGCUGGCUAGGGGGCGACCCUUGGCCAGACUGUUGAGAAACUGCUCAAACUUGAUCAUUUAGAGGAAGUAAAAGUCGUAACA
rnacentral:rRNA from 1 species